rnacentral:rRNA from 1 species
UACGUAGGGUGCGAGCGUUGUCCGGAAUUAUUGGGCGUAAAGAGCUCGUAGGCGGUGUGUCGCGUCGGCCGGUGAAAACCUGCAGCUUAACUGUGGGCUUGCGGUCGAUACGGGCAUCACUGGAGUUCGGCAGGGGAGACUGGAAUUCCUGGUGUAGCGGUGAAAUGCGCAGAGUAUCAGGAGGGAACACCCGGUGGGCGAAGGCGGGGUCUCGUGGGCCCGAUACUGACGCUGGAGGAGCGAAAGCGUCGGGGAGCGAACAGG